rnacentral:rRNA from 1 species
UACGGGGGGGGCAAGCGUUGUUCGGAAUUACUGGGCGUAAAGGGCUCGUAGGUGGCCAACUAAGUCGGACGUGAAAUCCCUCGGCUUAACCGGGGAACUGCGUCCGAUACUGGUUGGCUUGAGUUUGGGAGAGGGAUGCGGAAUUCCAGGUGUAGCGGUGAAAUGCGUAGAUAUCAGGAGGAACACCGGUGGCGAAGGCGGGUCUCUGGGCAACAACUGACGCUGAGGAGCGAAAGCGUGGGGAGCGAACAGG